rnacentral:misc_RNA from 1 species
AGCAGCCGCGGUAAUUCCAGCUCCAAUAGCGUAUAUUAAAGUUGCUGCAGUUAAAAGCUCGUAGUUGAAUUUCGGGACCAUCAUGUCGGUCGUGCCUCGGUACGUACUGGCAUUGUUGGUUUCUCCCUUCUGACGAACCAUGAUGUCAUUUAUUUGGUGUCGUGGGAAAUCAGGACUGUUACUUUGAAAAAUUGAGUGUUUAAAGCAGGCUCACGCUUGAAUACAUUAGCAUGGAAUAAUGAAAUAGGACGUUUGAUUCUAUUUUGUUGGUUUCUAGGAUCGACGUAAUGAUUAAUAGGGAUAGUUGGGGGCAUUAGUAUUCAAUUGUCAGAGGUGAAAUUCUUGGAUUUAUUGAAGACUAACUACUGCGAAAGCAUUUGCCAAGGAUGUUUUCAUUAAUCAAGAACGAAAGUUAGGGGAUCGAAGGCGAUCAGAUACCGUCGUAGUCUUAACCAUAAACUAUGCCGACUAGGGGUCGGAUGAUGUUAAUUUUUAAUGACUCAUUC